UGUGUCCGUGCCAGUGAGAGACAGACAGAAGAAGAAACUUGAUGCCGUGUGAAGAGCAAUAGACCCCAGAGAUUAUGACCAUAGGACAUGUGGGACAUCCAAGGACAAAGAGUGAAAACGGAGCCACUGAUGAAAAGAGAGAAAGGAGGGAUGAAUGACACUUGGGAGGAGACGGGAUCUUUGAGUUCACAUAAGACCUGUUGUCUGGUAAUGGACUGUCAGACACACAGAUAGGUUACAAGCGUGUGUGGAAAUAGCCUCCAAGUGAAAUUGAUCCCACAUAAAUCUGUAUGUUCACACGACACAUGCUCUUACACACAAAACACAACUGAUCCUGUAAUUUGUCAUUUGUGUAAUUGAAGUGCAGGAGGAAAAGGUGCCCAGGUGCUUCCCCGACUGUGUGAACUUAAGCUGCCUUCAGACAUGCAUGUGCUGAAAUGUUCCGGAAGGGCUGGAUGUGAGAAUUCAAACGUCUGAGUCGGAAUGUCUGGACAUUUUUCCUGCCAGCCCCCUAUGGUAUGUCCAGAAAAUGUCUGACUAAGUCCAUGUAACGGGAUAAAAAAGGCUAAAAAAAGAGGUACCAUUUUAGAAGAUGUCGUCUAAAAUGUCAACUUGGAAAGACAGAGAUUCGAGAAUAGAUGCCUUUUGCAAGCUCUAGCCAGGCCCCACCCUUUGCAUGAAUAUUCCGUACAUAAAAUAUUUUCUUCUUGUUGUGUCUGAACUGAAAAAGCUCUAGAUGCCAUAUAUGAAACACAAAAUCCAGAAAUGUCAGAAAAUGCAAAAGCAUUAUCCCUGGAGGAAAUGAUUUAACGUAUAAACCAAUAAGAGGCGUAACUUAAAAAAGUAUUUUGACUUGGGGGGAAAAAAUUCUUUGCUUGACAAACAAUUUAAAGGGCAUAUCUUGUUUUCAAGUUUUCUGUCAGUGGGAGUUACUUUUGUCUGUUGUGUAUAAACCCACUUUAAGCCUCGCUUUGUUACUAGUUCCUCCAAUAUUGUUACAUUUCUGCAUUGAAUUUGUAUUUGACUGAAAUACAUGUGUUCAUCUACACAAGACGUGAUCCUUCAUCUCCACCAACACAUUUAAACUGAUGCAGUUGUAAAAGAAGAACAGUUUUGUAUAACAUGCUACAAUAUCAGGGGGAUUUUUGGCUAACUUUCUUUCAUAAUAUUCAGAGACGUGCAGCAUACAAAGUCAUUCUUGGAAGCAAUUAUUAGAAUUUUCUGAUGGUUUCUAGGGAUUCAAUCUCGAAUUUGAAAAGGACAAAGCCAACAUCCUAAAUUUUAAAUCCAGAUAUCAUCCAUCAUAUCAGCGAGGACUAAAGCAGCUUUUGAUAUUAAUCCCAGUGUCUGUUUUUUUCAUGCGUGUGUGUCUGUGUGUGUUUGAGUGUCCCACAUUCUAACUGUGAGGUUUUAACUACAGCCAGUCAAUCUGACUGGGUCCUUGACAAGGGAGGGUCACAAAAGGUCACUAAA